UUUAAUACAAUUCCAUCAGUUUAUGUACUAAUAAUUCUUUUUAAAAAAGACAAAUCAGCUCAAAUCAAAGAUAUAUUCAAUUAAAAGAAGAAGGUCUUGCUGAAGGGAAGAUCUGCCAGGAAGCUAAAGGUUGUUUCAAGAGAAACCAACAAUCAGAACAAGAGCUAUAUAUAAUGGAUGAAGGAGAAGGCUGGGGUGAAGAGGGGAAGAAGAUAGACAUUCAUGAAAUAGAUGAAUUCCAUCUAUCUCUGAUGAAAAAAACUAGAACUAAACAAAAAGUUUGACCUCCAAAUAUAGGACUCAAGAGAAACACAAACAGAGUUUAGUGCUGGAAAGGACCAUAGAGGCACUCAAUUCCAACUUCCUCAUUUUAGAGAUGAAAAAUUGAAACUGAAAGAAGACUUUUGCAGCAAGACCAUGCCUAAGUGAAGGGGAAGGUCAAUUCUUCUAGAGCCUCCACAGCUGUGAAUCAUAACACUUGAAGGAGUUGCAAAGCAGCCUUUAAUUACCCAGAUGUUCCUUGAGGAUGGGGAAUGAAAUAAAUUGAAGACACAAGGAAGAGGAGAGAGGUCAGACAACAAUAGCUUCUCAGUCUCCUUAUAUCAUCAUCAUCAUCAUCAUCAUCAUCAUCAUCAUCAUCAUCAUCGUUAUCUCACAUGAAGAGAUCCAUUCUACAGGUCUGAGUUAGACCUCCACUGGGCUUCUUCCCUAUCUUCCUUCAAAGGGGCUUUUUUUUCUUUGUCCAAUCAUGUAUAUCUAUAUGUACCCUUUGCUGAAUAAAUAAAACUUACUCUAUAGUUGA